AACCUGGGGACCGGUAACGGCCUGGGGCUAAGAGAGGAUCCUGCGUCUGAUUAGCUAGUUGGCGGGGUAAUGGCCCACCAAGGCGACGAUCAGUAGCCGGCCUGAGAGGGUGAUCGGCCACACUGGAACUGAGACACGGUCCAGACUCCUACGGGAGGCAGCAGUGGGGAAUUUUGCGCAAUGGGCGAAAGCCUGACGCAGCAACGCCGCGUGGGUGAUGAAGGUCUUCGGACUGUAAAACCCUGUCGUCAGGGACGAAGGUGCGCACGUAAAUAGCGUGUGUACUUGACGGUACCUGGAGAGGAAGCCUCGGCUAACUCUGUGCCAGCAGCCGCGGUAAUACAAAGGGGGCAAGCGUUAUUUUGGAAUUAUUGGGCGUAAAGGGCGCGUAGGCGGUUUUUUAAAGUCAGAUGUGUAAAUCCCCCGAGCUCAACUUGGGAACUGCAUUCUGAGACUGGAAAGCUAUAAAUACUGGAAGAGGGUGGGUGGAAAUUCCUUUG
rnacentral:rRNA from 1 species